AUUGAACGCUGGCGGCAGGCCUAACACAUGCAAGUCGAGCGGACGAAGGGAGCUUGCUCCUGGAUUCAGCGGCGGACGGGCGAGUAAUGCCUAGGAAUCUGCCUGGUAGUGGGGGAUAACGUCCGGAAACGGGCGCUAAUACCGCAUACGUUCUGAGGGUGAAAGUGGGGGUUCUUCGGACAUCACGCUUUCAGCUGAGCCUAGGUCGGAUUAGCUAGUUGGUGGGGUAAAGGCCUACCAAGGCGACGAUCCGUAACUGGUCUGAGAGGAUGACCAGCCACACUGGAACUGAGACACGGUCCAGACUCCUACGGGAGGCAGCAGUGGGGAAUAUUGGACAAUGGGCGAAAGCCUGAUCCAGCCAUGCCGCGUGUGUGAAGAAGGUCUUCGGAUUGUAAAACACUUUAAGUUGGGAGGAAGAGAAGUAAGUUAAUCCCUUGCUGUUUUGACGUUACCAACAGAGUAAGCCCCGGCUAACUUCGUG
rnacentral:rRNA from 1 species